rnacentral:sRNA from 1 species
UAAUUAAAACUAAUUAGGGGUGUUAAUUGUAAUUACACAAUAACUGAAAACAUCUGAGUAAUAAAAAAAAGAUGUGUUCUACUGUAGGAAUAAACAUACAAAUGUGUUCUAUCUUAGGAAUUAGUUCAA